rnacentral:rRNA from 1 species
AGUGAACGCUGGCGGUAGGCCUAACACAUGCAAGUCGAACGGCAGCACAGUAAGAGCUUGCUCUUACGGGUGGCGAGUGGCGGACGGGUGAGGAAUACAUCGGAAUCUACUUUUUCGUGGGGGAUAACGUAGGGAAACUUACGCUAAUACCGCAUACGACCUACGGGUGAAAGCAGGGGAUCUUCGGACCUUGCGCGAUUGAAUGAGCCGAUGUCGGAUUAGCUAGUUGGCGGGGUAACGGCCCACCAAGGCGACGAUCCGUAGCUGGUCUGAGAGGAUGAUCAGCCACACUGGAACUGAGACACGGUCCAGACUCCUACGGGAGGCAGCAGUGGGGAAUAUUGGGCAAUGGGCGCAAGCCUGAUCCAGCCAUACCGCGUGGGUGAAGAAGGCCUUCGGGUUGUAAAGCCCUUUUGUUGGGAAAGAAAAGCAGCAGGUUAAUACCCCGCUGUUCUGACGGUACCCAAAGAAUAAGCACCGGCUAACUUCGUG